rnacentral:rRNA from 1 species
ACGAAGGGGGCUAGCGUUGCUCGGAUUUACUGGGCGUAAAGGGCGCGUAGGCGGAUGACCAAGUUGGGGGUGAAAUCCCGGGGCUUAACCUCGGAACUGCCUCCAAAACUGGUCGUCUUGAGUUUGGGAGAGGUGUGUGGAACUCCGAGUGUAGAGGUGAAAUUCGUAGAUAUUCGGAAGAACACCAGUGGCGAAGGCGACACACUGGCCCAAUACUGACGCUGAGGCGCGAAAGCGUGGGGAGCAAACAGGA